rnacentral:rRNA from 1 species
CAGGAUGAACGCUAGCGGCAGGCCUAACACAUGCAAGUCGAACGGUAACAUGAGAGCUUGCUCUUGAUGACGAGUGGCGCACGGGUGCGUAACGCGUAUACAAUCUACCUUUUACUGGGAGAUAGCCUUUAGAAAUGAAGAUUAAUAUCCCAUAGUAUAAUGAUAUGGCAUCAUAUUAUUAUUAAAGUUUCGGCGGUAAAAGAUGAGUAUGCGUUCUAUUAGCUAGAUGGUGUGGUAACGGCACACCAUGGCAACGAUAGAUAGGGGCCCUGAGAGGGGGAUCCCCCACACUGGUACUGAGACACGGACCAGACUCCUACGGGAGGCAGCAGUGAGGAAUAUUGGACAAUGGGCGCAAGCCUGAUCCAGCCAUGCCGCGUGCAGGAAGACGGCCCUAUGGGUUGUAAACUGCUUUUAUACAGGAAGAAACACUCCCUCGUGAGGGAGCUUGACGGUACUGUAAGAAUAAGGACCGGCUAACUCCGUGCCAGCAGCCGCGGUAAUACGGAGGGUCCGAGCGUUAUCCGGAAUCAUUGGGUUUAAAGGGUCCGUAGGUGGAUAAUUAAGUCAGAGGUGAAAUCCUGCAGCUCAACUGUAGAAUUGCCUUUGAAACUGGUUAUCUUGAGUUAUUAUGAAGUAGUUAGAAUAUGUAGUGUAGCGGUGAAAUGCAUAGAUAUUACAUAGAAUACCAAUUGCGAAGGCAGAUUACUAAUAAUCAACUGACACUGAUGGACGAAAGCGUGGGGAGCGAACAGGAUUAGAUACCCUGGUAGUCCACGCCGUAAACGAUGGUUACUAGCUGUUCGGACUUCGGUCUGAGUGGCUAAGCGAAAGUGAUAAGU